rfam:Cavia porcellus supercont2_59 genomic scaffold, whole genome shotgun sequence.
AUCCUGUUUGCGGUUCACAGGUGUGAUGAUGGGGGGGUUCCCCCCACUGUGUGAGAUAUGUCUCCUUCAAACUCUGCUACUGUGUAGGCACAUUACCAUCUGAUC